UACACAUUUAUCUCGGUCCUAAAGGAAGGAAAAGUGGCUAUCGCUAUCUCUAUUGCAACGUUAGCUCUGUUGGAGUUCCACUACGAGUGCGGAGAUGAUACAUGUUUACUAACAAAAGAUUAGAACCAUAACAAAAGAAACCUCCAAUGUCUUUGUAGAUCGUUCCGAAGAUCACUCUAUAAAAUCCUAAGUGCAUCUCGAUCAUUGUCAUUGAACCUCACCUUGCUGUUCCUGCCCGCAGGUAAGCUGAUGAUGCUCUCGGCACUGUGGCUUCCGUUUGUUCCAGCUGCUUAUUUCACUGCCCUGACCUGCUCCUCCACCGGUGGACGAUAGUGUACUGCUGCUGUUCGCGGUGCCACUCAGCAGCCGUACGACAAGCAUGGCCGGUGCAUUUACGCCCAACCGCCGCACCGUCGCCGUUGCCAUCAUUGUCGCCCAUCGAGAUGAUGUUUGCGCAACCGGGCUGGAGCCUGUGCAGUAUCCGCGUUGUUGAUGGGAUGAUGCUGAUUGUGGUAGUGCUGCCCGUGCCAGUAGCCCUUUAAAGUGCACACCAACGAAGCGGACGGAGGAGACGGAGGGCGAGUGCAUCGUUUUCUAUUGUCGAUGCACGGGGUUAGCGGUUAGAUCGAGCUGGGGAAGAGAGAAAUUUUAAGUGAACGACGUUAGGGUAGUUGGUUGCGCAAAGGUUAAACAAAUAGAACCGAUUCAGCUGGACAUCGUUGAAGGAAGCAGCGGUUGGAGUGACGAAUGGGUGGCACUAAUUUCAAUGAUAAUUUCCCUUUAUGAUUUUUGUUAAAGGAUUGAUGAUAUAAUUCGUUUCUUUAUUUCUAAUUUUGCAAUAAUGUUGGAAAUUCUAUUCAAUUCGCUUCCCAAUUUUAAAUGUUUAAAUUCCUAUCGUUUGUAUUUUUUAAAUACAUACUUCUAUAUUAGGGCACAGAUUUCUUGUGGUAGUUUUGGUCUAUUGAUCAUAUUUGUUUUACCAUAAUGUAGCAAAAAUAAAUUCUAAAUGUUAAGGCCAAAAAA